CUGAUUAUUAUCGUCGUCCAAUCGACGGUGGGUUAGCGCGCGUCCGGGAUUUCCGAAUUGCAACCCGCCCAUGAGGCGGGUUUU
rnacentral:sRNA from 1 species